rnacentral:rRNA from 1 species
AGUGAAUAGAUACCCCGGGUAGUCCACGCCCUAAACGAUGAUAACUCGAUGUUGGCGAUACACAGUCAGCGUCUAAAGCGAAAGCAUUAAGUUAUCCACCUGGGAAGUACGACCGCAAGGUUGAAACUCAAAGGAAUUGACGGGGGGCCCGCACAAGCGGAGGAGCAUGUGGUUUAAUUCGAUGAUACGCGAGGAACCUUACCUGGGCUUGAAAGUUAGUGACCGUCCCUGAAAGGGGGACCCUUCAGCAAUGACACGAAACUAGGUGCUGCAUGGCUGUCGUCAGCUCGUGCCGUGAGGUGUUGGGUUAAGUCCCGUAACGAGCGCAACCCCUAUCAUUAGUUGCCAUCGGGUAAACGCCGGGGGACUCUAAUGAGACUGCCCGCGCAAGCGGUGAGGAAGGUGGGGGAUGACGUCAAGUCAUCACGGCCCUUACGGUCCAGGGCUACACACGUGCUACAAUGGCAGAUA